UAGGGAAUCUUCCGCAAUGGACGCAAGUCUGACGGAGCAACGCCGCGUGAGUGAAGAAGGAUUUCGGUUCGUAAAACUCUGUUGUUAGAGAAGAACAGCGCAUAGAGUAACUGUUAUGCGUGUGACGGUAUCUAACCAGAAAGCCACGGCUAACUACGUGCCAGCAGCCGCGGUAAUACGUAGGUGGCAAGCGUUGUCCGGAUUUAUUGGGCGUAAAGCGAGCGCAGGCGGUCAAUUAAGUCUGAUGUGAAAGCCCCCGGCUCAACCGGGGAGGGUCAUUGGAAACUGGUUGACUUGAGUGCAGAAGAGGAGAGUGGAAUUCCAUGUGUAGCGGUGAAAUGCGUAGAUAUAUGGAGGAACACCAGUGGCGAAGGCGACUCUCUAGUCUGUAACUGACGCUGAGGCUCGAAAGAGUGGGUAGCAAACAGG
rnacentral:rRNA from 1 species